rnacentral:rRNA from 1 species
AUCCUGGCUUAGGAUGAACGCUGGCGGCGUGCCUAACACAUGCAAGUCGAGCGAGAAGCUUCGGAGUAGAUUCUUCGGAUGACACACUGAAGUGGACAGCGGCGGACGGGUGAGUAACGCUGGGCAACCUGCCCUUUCGGAGGAUAGCCAAGGGAAACUUUGAAUAAUACUCCAUAAAGCAGUGACAUCACAUGGUGAUACUGCCAAAGAUUUAUCGGAGAGGGAUGGGCCCGCGUCUGAUUAGCCAGUUGGUGAGGUAGCGGCUCACCAAAGCGACGAUCGGUAGCCGGCCUGAGAGGGUGAACGGCCACAUUGGAACUGAGACACGGUCCAGACUCCUACGGGAGGCAGCAGUGGGAGUAUUGCACAAUGGGCGGAAGCCUGAAUGCAGCAACGCCGCGUGAAGGAUGAAGGUUUUCGGAUCGUAAACUUCUGUCCCUGGGGAAGAAGAAAGUGACGGUACCCAAGGAGGAAGCCCCGGCUAACUACGUGCCAGCAGCUGC